rnacentral:rRNA from 1 species
GACAGAGGAUGCAAGCGUUAUCCGGAAUGAUUGGGCGUAAAGCGUUUGUAGGUGGCUUUUGAAGUCCGCCGUCAAAUCCCAGGGCUCAACCCUGGACAGGCGGUGGAAACUACCAAGCUGGAGUACGAUAGGGGCAGAGGGAAUUUCCGGUGGAGCGGUGAGAUGCAUUGAGAUUGGAAAGAACACCAACGGCGAAAGCACUCUGCUGGGCCGACACUGACACUGAGAGACGAAAGCUAGGGGAGCAAAUGGG